UAUAGUUUCAAAAUUUUUUACUAAUAAACAAAUUCGUUACAAACUUCUGACCAAAAGAGCUUUCAAAAUGCUUGGCAAAAUUUUGAAAAUUGUGGAGAAGAACUAUAUUGAUAUUCUAAUGGUGUCUGGCGUUUUGGUAUAUUCAUUUUUGCAGUUACCAGUCAUCGCUAAAAGUGGUUUCAUCACAAUUCUAGCAGUUUCUAUGUUUACAAUAGGAAUACUUGGAAUUUUGUAUCAGAUUUCUGCUGGUAGCAUGCCUGAAAGAGAUUUCGCUGGCAGGGAUGUACCAGCGAUUAUAUAUGUGUAUGUUGCUGACUUAUGUAUAACACUUAUUGUUGCAAAUUUUAUUACAAACCUUUUUUGCUUAAUGUGUCUGGAAGAUUCGGUAAAUACUACGGAAAUAAUAAACACUUCGCUUUCUCUUGGAAACAGUACGAUUUUCUAUCCAAUAGAGACUCAAAUACCCACAAAAAUUGGUUCCAUAAUUGCUAGUAUGGCGUUUGUCAUCGGUCUAAUUCCGUAUUACAAGGAAGUUAUGAAUUUUGAUUUAUUGUUUAUUUUCGCAAAUCUCAAUGAGAAUCAAUUAUCUGAUGUAAUAGGUCAUAUUAAAAGUUUACAACAAGAAAAUGCUAUACAAGAUAGAAGUUAUAAGAUCUGUCAGUACGGAUAUUUUCCAAUUUACUACGUUCUUUCAACUAAUCCUGAUGGCGAGAGCGCAGCACUUUCGCUACACAGUAUUAUGACAAUGAGAAUACUUCUUGUAUAAUUUGUAUAAAAUUUCUUUUAAUUUUAUACAAUAAAAAAAAAAUUUAAAUCAAUUGCACAAACUAUACAUAAAGAAAUAAUGUGGCAAUAAAAAAGGAUGUGCAAUGAUGAAUAAAAACAACUUAAGAAAUGAUGUAUAAGUGAUUUGAUAAUGAAACAUUUUAUUGGACAAUAUUUGUUAAAGAUUGUUAUCGUAUAUAUAGAAGAACUUCCAGAAUCGUAUUCAUUGUAAGUGACAUCAUCCCAGAGCAAGGCAUGUUCAGUUUAGAGUACUGGUAAAUAGCGGAAACGUUUUUAGUAAAAGUUGGGCCAUAGUACUCAAAAUUAUAUAUAUUGCUGAAUAGCGGAAAAGUUUCAUGAAAGUUCAAUUAAUGAAAUUUAGAUAAAAGUUCUUAAUGUCGAAGGACUUGUACUCUUGUUACAAUUGAUCAGAUGUGUACUCAAAAUAAUUUUACAAGAUUUUACGAUAUUUAUUUAUGUCAAAUGGAACUUUACUGGUGAUUUUUGGAUGACGAACUAAAACAAACAUUUCCACAUUAUAUACAGAAUGCUUUAAGAUAGUUUUGAUGUCCUUAGAACAAGACAGAGCAAUUAAUAUAAAGAAACCUAUAUUCCAGCCUAUAUUCCAACCUGAAGUUUUCUAGCUUUUUCGUAAACCGGAACAAGUACUCCAUGUUGCAGAUAAACUUCUAGGCAUAUUGGCUAUUGUUGCAUUAUCGUUUAAGCUGUAUUGUACCACUAAAUAAAAAAGACUCUUAAAAUAAA